rnacentral:tRNA from 1 species
GGACCGGUAGUUCAGUUGGUUAGAAUUGUGGAUUGUCGAUCCAUCGGUCGCGGGUUCGAAUCCCGUCUGGUCCG